rnacentral:rRNA from 1 species
AUUGAACGCUGGCGGCAUGCCUUACACAUGCAAGUCGAACGGUAACAGGUUAAGCUGACGAGUGGCGAACGGGUGAGUAAUGUAUCGGAACGUGCCCAGUCGUGGGGGAUAACUACUCGAAAGAGUGGCUAAUACCGCAUACGACCUGAGGGUGAAAGCGGGGGACCGUAAGGCCUCGCGCGACUGGAGCGGCCGAUAUCAGAUUAGCUAGUUGGCGGGGUAAAAGCCCACCAAGGCGACGAUCUGUAGCUGGUCUGAGAGGACGACCAGCCACACUGGGACUGAGACACGGCCCAGACUCCUACGGGAGGCAGCAGUGGGGAAUUUUGGACAAUGGACGCAAGUCUGAUCCAGCCAUGCCGCGUGCGGGAAGAAGGCCUUCGGGUUGUAAACCGCUUUUGUCAGGGAAGAAACGGGUUUCUCUAAUACAGAGACCUAAUGACGGUACCUGAAGAAUAAGCACCGGCUAACUACGUGCCAGCAGCCGCUGUAA